AUAUCGGUAGGGGAGCGUUCUGUUGUAGGUCGAAGUAUUAGCGUAAGCGGAUAUGGACGAAGCAGAAGUGAGAAUGUCGGCUUGAGUAACGAAAAUAUAGGUGAGAAUCCUAUACCCCGAAAACCCAAGGUUUCCUCCGGAAGGCUCGUCCGCGGAGGGUAAGUCAGGACCUAAGGCGAGGCUGAAAAGCGUAGUCGAUGGACAACGGGUUAAUAUUCCCGUACCAUUUUUUAUUGACAACGAGGGACGGAGAAGGCUAAGCUAGCCGGAUAUUGGUUACCGGUUUAAACGUUCAAGAUGUUGAGAAGCGGCGAAAACGCUUUGAGUUGAGACGUGAGUACGAGACGCUAAGGCGUCGAAGUAGUGUAUGUCAUACUUCCAAGAAAAGCUUGCACUGUCAUAAAUAAAAAAUGCCUGUACCAUAACCGACACAGGUGGGUAGGUAGAGUAUACUAAGGGGCGCGAGCUAACUCUCUCUAAGGAACUCGGCAAAAUAGCCCUGUAACUUCGGGAGAAGGGGUGCCCUGUGAAGGGUUGCAAUAACCAGACCCAGGCGACUGUUUAUCAAAAACACAGGUCUCCGCUAAGUCGAAAGAUAAUGUAUGGGGGCUGACGCCUGCCCAGUGCCGGAAGGUUAAAGAAAAUGGUUAGCGUUAUGCGAAGCUGAUGACUGAAGCCCCGGUGAACGGCGGUCGUAACAAUAACGAUCCUAAGGUAGCGAAAUUCCUUGUCGGGUAAGUUCCGACCCGCACGAAAGGCGUAACGAUCUGGGUACUGUCUCAGAGAGAGACUCGGUGAAAUAGAACUGACUGUGAAGAUGCGGUCUACUUGCACUUGGACAGAAAGACCCUAUGAAGCUUUACUGUAACUUGAAAUUGGUUUCGGGCUCUUCUUGCGCAGUAUAGAUGGGAGGCUUUGAAGAAUUCUUUCGGGAAUAUCUGAGCUGUUAGUGAGAUACCAUUCUGGGAGAGUUAGAAAUCUAAAGACAGUUCUUGAAUCAGAAUGUUUGACAGUUUCAGGCGGGCAGUUUUACUGGGGCGGUAGCCUCCUAAAAGGUAACGGAGGCGUGCAAAGGUUCUCUCAGGUUAGACGGAAAUUAACCGAAGAGUGUAAAGGCAUAAGAGAGCUUAACUGUAAGACCUAGAAGUCGAGCAGGAACGAAAGUUGGCCUUAGUGAUCCGACGGUUCUUAGUGGAAAGGCCGUCGCUUAACCGAUAAAAGUUACUCUAGGGAUAACAGGCUGAUCUCCCCCAAGAGUUCACAUCGACGGGGAGGUUUGGCACCUCGAUGUCGGCUCAUCGCAGCCUGGGGCGGUAGUACGUCCCAAGGGUUGGGCUGUUCGCCCAUUAAAGCGGUACGUGAGCUGGGUUCAGAACGUCGUGAGACAGUUCGGUCCAUAUCCGGUGCGAGCGUUAGAGUAUUGAAGGGAUCUUCUCCUAGUACGAGAGGACCGGAGAGGACAUACCUCUGGUGUACCAGUUCUUAUGCCAAUAGGACGUGCUGGGUAGCUACGUAUGGAAAGGAUAACUGCUGAAAGCAUAUAAGUAGGAAGCCUACCUUGAGAUGAGUACUCUUUGCUCUUAUAAGAGGUAAGGUCGCGGAAAGAACAACCGUUUGAUAGGUAUUAAGUUGAAGAUUAGUAAUAAUUGUAGCUGAAAUAUACUAAAAGACCGA
rnacentral:rRNA from 16 species